UCAUGGCUGAUUGUUGGACUGGUUUGUGGAGUCUCUCUCCUCAUUAUUCUCCUGCUCUUGUUGUAUCGCUGCAGAACGACCAACAGGGAGAACUUUUCCUUUACUUACUACAAACUCUUCACUCAUUCAGAUACACAAAUGCAUCAUGAGGUCUGUGUGAAAGCAAAUGUCUUCUUUACAUUUUUAAUAAAGGUCCUGCUAAUGAGCAGACGGUGAAUCAGGAUGAACAUCAGCAGCAAGUGUACUCCUCUCUUCUUCAUGGUGAUCGUUGUGUCUAUGAGACAAUCAGAGGCUCUGAAAACACUGAAAAUGGACAACGUGGUGACCCAGAGGAGAGCUCUGACUACUAUAAUGUGAAUCCAAAUUCAGCCACAGCUCUAAAAUCUUAACAGCAGCUCUUUAGCUGUUUUUAUCUUUUUCUCUUUAAAGGAACUUAAAAACUUGACGUCACUUUGAGUGAAAAGGAGCAGAUUUUUCAUUCAAAGCAAUGAUCCUGAUAGCCUGAGUUUAUAUUUCCUUCAGAAAGAAUCCCUCA